UUUGCGCCAAUGGACGUGCUGGUCUUACUGGGGGGGGGUGUUCAGGUGAAUUAUUGGCGUAAUGCUAUCUUGAGGCAACGGGAAGUGAUUGCGCCAUUGACCAACUAAAACCUGGUCUAAAGUCAAUGACACUCUGAUUGGUUGAUUGCAUGUAAUGCCCAAAACACACCUAUGAAUUAAUGAAGACACUAAGUAUAAUCCCUUUCAAACCAUGCGCCCGGCGCACGGACCCCUUUUUCCACCGUCAAACUAGCAAAAGUGGAUUUGGACACACCCUAAAGGCACCUGUGCCAUGCGCUUCACACCGUGCGCUUAGAUCGUUAAAAUAAGGCCC